UUAUGCCUGUAAGCAGUCCAUCGAAUGCCUUUUUUUUAAACGCAAACUGAAUAGCUUGUUUAGUACCCUUUCCAGCACAUGUAUUCAUGAAAACAUGAGGUGUUCUAUCUGAAGAGGAACCACACAUGACUAAAACAUGUUUCUAGUGGUGUUCUCAUGCACACUAAACUUCCAAAGAGGAACUACAACCUGUUGUGUGGUCAGCUAUUUCUUUUUAAAAUCAAACCCUAAAAUGCAACGGGGAAAAACAGAAGCACAAACACACACACACACACACACACACACACACACACACACACACACACACACACACACACACACACACCUCUGUUCCCCAGCUUAGCUUGAGUAAUGCAUUCUUUAUCUUUACAUUCCUGGAAUAUUUGGAGGCGGCUGUACCUUGAAGAAGCUUAGGUUGAAAGGAUUGCCAGAGAAGGGGGCUGGAUUUUGUUUGUGUUUACUCCUUUGUGGUAUUCUGAAAAGUUCGAAAGAAAUGGGAGGAGGGAGGAAUAUUUAUAACUGUAUGAAUGUAAAGUGGGUGAAAAGUGUUCACAGGUAGUAGAAGGGACAGGCCUGGAUAUGUUGUAGCGCCUAGGGGAGGGAGGAGGGGAGGGAGGGAAGCAAAGGGGAAGGCAGAGAAAGGAGGAGGAGACUGCGUGAGGGAUUGCACUGACUGUUUAAUGACUUCUGACUCCUGGGGGAGCUGCAUGUCGCUGAAUGAACAGCAGACAGAGCAACAGGCGGAGAAAGACUAUUAACUCUGAAAAGUACGCCGUAGUGACAUUAGAGAUAAAGACCCUGACAGAAGUGAGGCAGAGGAGAGGACAAAGAGAAGAUAAAGCCACAGGGGUAGCAGCAUAGCAAGAGGUAGUUAGAGAGAGGUAAGGAGAUAGUCAGAGGUGCAGAGAGGCUGUGGGUGAAAGAGGAGGCUCAGUAUGUAGAGGAGUUUAUAUAUAGCCCUCUAUAGCCAGCUCUGGACACCUGCCCAGCACAACAGGAUACGACUGUCUAUGAAAAGGAGAAGGAUAUCAUCUCAGUGUGCCGUCAGUUGGUUGCGGUGUGUGAUGAGAUCUUGAAUUCCAGCCCUGAAGCGCUUCUUACCCACACUGCUCAGCUCGAGAGUGUCGACCU